UUCGUGGCGGAGACACCAGCACAGAUAGGGUUUGGGUGAGGGUUGAUUCCUACCCUGAUGGCAGCAACCCUCCUUCCGCAACCUUGUCCGCCGAGUGCACUGAGCUGUUUUGCUGUACAAAGAGCCUCUCCUUUUCAAUGUACCAUGGUGUCCCUUUCCAUGCUAGCUCUAAACUUCUGCCCCCAUCAUUCCCAUGGUGUCUAAGAAAAUCAUAGGGAAGAGGCUCUAGGAGAGGGGGUUUGGUUUUACUUUUCUGGUUUUGCAACACGAUGCGACGAAUUUCUCCUACACAGAUAAUACAAUCAAUCCAACUGUUAACUUUGGUGUGCUUUUUGGAUGGACUAAUAUGAAGACGCUGGCUAGCUCGCAUUGCCAUCAUAUAUUCUAGAAGCAAGAGCAAGGAUUAUAGCGAAAAUAAAGGUAUAUGCUGAUAACAAAGGGGUUGGAGUGGUGCCCUGUGGUGACAGCCGACAGUGGAGAAAGAUGUGAGCGCCCACCUCUUCGAACUACGGUUAUAUUUAUAUACGCAGGAGAGGUGGCGCAAACAUGAUGGCCAAACCUGUGGUGCUUUGCAAGGUACCUAAUAUGGCUAAAUGCGUAACGAAAAGGUCUGUCUUCCUAGCCUCCUAGAUCCAACAGUAGCACGAAUAAGC